UACGUAGGGUGCAAGCGUUAAUCGGAAUUACUGGGCGUAAAGCGUGCGCAGGCGGUUCGGAAAGAAAGAUGUGAAAUCCCAGGGCUUAACCUUGGAACUGCAUUUUUAACUGCCGGGCUAGAGUAUGUCAGAGGGGGGUAGAAUUCCACGUGUAGCAGUGAAAUGCGUAGAGAUGUGGAGGAAUACCGAUGGCGAAGGCAGCCCCCUGGGAUAAUACUGACGCUGAGGCACGAAAGCGUGGGGAGCAAACAGG
rnacentral:rRNA from 1 species